UAACUCCUGAGGAGCUAGAGACUAAGGUCAGCUACAAGGGGAUCAGACAAGUCUGCAUUACCAACUUUCAGUGAAAAUUCUGGACACCAAAGCUUGAGUGAGCUUGGCAAAACUCAUGUGUACUAUCAAGCACAGUUGCUGAGGGAAAUCAGUGCUGUCCACAUGACUCUCCUGGAGAGGACAACUGGAAGCACUUCAGACCCUUCCCACCGGAGGAAAGAAAGUGACUCCUGACCAUCCACAUCUUCUUAACCUGCACCCUUGAUUCAGAGGGUUCCAGGUGCUCAUCUCCUGUCCCCAGCCACCCUCAGCUCCAGCACAGAGCCCGAUGUGUGGCUCAAUCCUACAACUAUGAGAUCAUGACCUGAGCCGAAUCAAGAGUUAGACACUUAACUGGGCCACCAAGGUGCCCCUGGAGCAAUCUUUUAUACAUAUUUAUUGAAUCAAGUUAGCCGAGAUGUUGUGUUUUCCAUAUCCUUACUGUUUUUGUGUGUAUUCUAUUAAUUAUUAAAAUAAUUUUGAGGGAGACGUGUCUAGCUCAGUUGGUAGACCCCUGAUCUUGGGGUCAUGAGUUCAAGCCUCAUGUUGGGUGCAGAGAGUACUUUAAAAAAUA